rnacentral:rRNA from 1 species
UACGUAGGUCCCGAGCGUUGUCCGGAUUUAUUGGGCGUAAAGCGAGCGCAGGUGGUUUAUUAAGUCUGGUGUAAAAGGCAGUGGCUCAACCACUGUAUGCAUUGGAAACUGGUAGACUUGAGUGCAGGAGAGGAGAGUGGAAUUCCAUGUGUAGCGGUGAAAUGCGUAGAUAUAUGGAGGAACACCGGUGGCGAAAGCGGCUCUCUGGCCUGUAACUGACACUGAGGCUCGAAAGCGUGGGUAGCAAACAGG